rnacentral:rRNA from 1 species
GUUACAUGGGCAAGGUCGGAACGAACUCUGGUAUUGAUUGGUGCUUGCAUCAUGAUUUACAUUUGAGUGAGUGGCGAACUGGUGAGUAACACGUGGGAAACCUGCCCAGAAGCGGGGGAUAACACCUGGAAACAGAUGCUAAUACCGCAUAACAACUUGGACCGCAUGGUCCGAGUUUGAAAGAUGGCUUCGGCUAUCACUUUUGGAUGGUCCCGCGGCGUAUUAGCUAGAUGGUGGGGUAACGGCUCACCAUGGCAAUGAUACGUAGCCGACCUGAGAGGGUAAUCGGCCACAUUGGGACUGAGACACGGCCCAAACUCCUACGGGAGGCAGCAGUAGGGAAUCUUCCACAAUGGACGAAAGUCUGAUGGAGCAACGCCGCGUGAGUGAAGAAGGGUUUCGGCUCGUAAAACUCUGUUGUUAAAGAAGAACAUAUCUGAGAGUAACUGUUCAGGUAUUGACGGUAUUUAACCAGAAAGCCACGGCUAACUACGUGCCAGCAGCCGCGGUAAUACGUAGGUGGCAAGCGUUGUCCGGAUUUAUUGGGCGUAAAGCGAGCGCAGGCGGUUUUUUAAGUCUGAUGUGAAAGCCUUCGGCUCAACCGAAGAAGUGCAUCGGAAACUGGGAAACUUGAGUGCAGAAGAGGACAGUGGAACUCCAUGUGUAGCGGUGAAAUGCGUAGAUAUAUGGAAGAACACCAGUGGCGAAGGCGGCUGUCUGGUCUGUAACUGACGCUGAGGCUCGAAAGUAUGGGUAGCAAACAGGAUUAGAUACCCUGGUAGUCCAUACCGUAAACGAUGAAUGCUAAGUGUUGGAGGGUUUCCGCCCUUCAGUGCUGCAGCUAACGCAUUAAGCAUUCCGCCUGGGGAGUACGGCCGCAAGGCUGAAACUCAAAGGAAUUGACGGGGGCCCGCACAAGCGGUGGAGCAUGUGGUUUAAUUCGAAGCUACGCGAAGAACCUUACCAGGUCUUGACAUACUAUGCAAAUCUAAGAGAUUAGACGUUCCCUUCGGGGACAUGGAUACAGGUGGUGCAUGGUUGUCGUCAGCUCGUGUCGUGAGAUGUUGGGUUAAGUCCCGCAACGAGCGCAACCCUUAUUAUCAGUUGCCAGCAUUAAGUUGGGCACUCUGGUGAGACUGCCGGUGACAAACCGGAGGAAGGUGGGGAUGACGUCAAAUCAUCAUGCCCCUUAUGACCUGGGCUACACACGUGCUACAAUGGAUGGUACAACGAGUUGCGAACUCGCGAGAGUAAGCUAAUCUCUUAAAGCCAUUCUCAGUUCGGAUUGUAGGCUGCAACUCGCCUACAUGAAGUCGGAAUCGCUAGUAAUCGCGGAUCAGCAUGCCGCGGUGAAUACGUUCCCGGGCCUUGUACACACCGCCCGUCACACCAUGAGAGUUUGUAACACCCAAAGUCGGUGGGGUAACCUUUUAGGAACCAGCCGCCUAAGGGGAUA